ACUCAAAUGAAUAGACGGGGGCCCGCACAAGCGGUGGAGUAUGUGGUUUAAUUCGAUGCAACGCGAAGAACCUUACCAGGGCUUGACAUCCCGGGAACCCUGUGGAAACAUGGGGGUGCCCUUCGGGGAGCCCGGAGACAGGUGGUGCAUGGCUGUCGUCAGCUCGUGUCGUGAGAUGUUGGAUUAAGUUCCGCAACGAGCGCAACCCUCGUUGCCUGUUGCCAGCGGUUCGGCCGGGCACUCAGGCGAGACUGCCGCAGCAAUGUGGAGGAAGGUGGGGAUGAUGUCAAGUCAGCAUGCCCCGUACGCCCUGGGCUACACACAUACUACAAUGCGAGGAGCAAACAGUUGCGCACCCGUGAGGGGAAGCUAAUCUGAGAAGGCCUCGCUCAGUGCAGAUUGCAGGCUGCAACUCGCCUGCAUGAAGGCGGAAUCGCUAGUAACCGUCGGUCAGCAUUACGACGGUGAAUACGUUCCCGGGCCUUGUACACACCGCCCGU
rnacentral:rRNA from 1 species